UUAUUACUCCCUCCGUCCAAAAAUACUUGUCAUCAAAAUGGAUAAAAAUAGAUGUAUCUAGAACUAAAAUACGUCUAGAUACAUCUCCUUUUAUCCAUUUUGAUGAUAAGUAUUUUUUGACGGAGGGAGUACAAA
rnacentral:pre_miRNA from 1 species